CGCGUAGGUGGUCUUGUAAGUUUGCGGUGAAAGCCCGGGGCUCAACCCCGGGUCUGCCGCGAAUACUGCGAGACUUGAGUACUGUAGAGGCUGGUAGAAUGCCGGGUGUAGCGGUGGAAUGCGUAGAGAUCCGGCAGAAGACCGGUGGCGAAGGCGGCCAGCUGGGCAGUGACUGACACUGAGGCGCGACAGCGUGGGGGAGACAAACGA
rnacentral:rRNA from 1 species